rnacentral:rRNA from 1 species
UACGUAGGGGGCUAGCGUUGUCCGGAAUCAUUGGGCGUAAAGAGCGUGUAGGCGGUCCGGUAAGUCCGCUGUGAAAGUCGGGGGCUCAACCCUCGAAUGCCGGUGGAUACUGUCGGGCUAGAGUGCGGAAGAGGCGAGUGGAAUUCCUGGUGUAGCGGUGAAAUGCGUAGAUAUCAGGAGGAACACCUGUUGCGAAGGCAGCUCGCUGGGACGUAACUGACGCUGAGACGCGAAAGCGUGGGGAGCAAACAGG